AGGUUCUGCACUUUUGUAACGAUUCGAUCCGUUAACAAUAAUAACUCAACUGCCGGUUCAAAAUACUAAAGCUCAGUUAUUAUAAGUGUCCAUAAUGCCUUAUAACCCAAUCACAACCCCGUUCUGCGCACUCACAUUUUCGUCUGAUGCCAAAUAUAACGAUUCAGCCUACUAACAAUAAUAACUCGUUAGGCCCCAAAUCACUAACCCAAAUUGAUUAAGCCCAAUUAUUAUUAUCCAAUCACAAUUUCAUUCUUAUCUGAUGUGGGACUAUUAGGGUAUCAUAAAUUUUUUUUUCUUUUUUUGGGGAUUUUUUUUCGAUGGCCCUGUUGCCUUAGUCUUAUAACUUAGUUUGUUAAUCUAAUGAACGAAUCAGACAGCUUGCUAAUUUUUCUCAGAAAAAAAAUAAAAAAAAAUCUAAAAUGUUUACAU
rnacentral:lncRNA from 1 species